rnacentral:rRNA from 1 species
UAUACCGCGAAACUGCGAAUGGCUCAUUAAAUCAGUUAUCGUUUAUUUGAUAGUACCUUACUACUUGGAUAACCGUGGUAAUUCUAGAGCUAAUACAUGCUAAAAACCCCGACUCACGGAGGGGUGUAUUUAUUAGAUUAAAGACCAAUGCCCUUCGGGGCUCUUUGGUGAUUCAUAAUAACUUUUCGAAUCGCAUGGCCUUGCGCCGGCGAUGGUUCAUUCAAAUUUCUGCCCUAUCAACUUUCGAUGGCAGGGUCUUGGCCUGCCAUGGUUACAACGGGUAACGGAGGGUUAGGGCUCGACCCCGGAGAAGGAGCCUGAGAAACGGCUACUACAUCCAAGGAAGGCAGCAGGCGCGCAAAUUACCCAAUCCCGAUUCGGGGAGGUAGUGACAAUAAAUACUGAUACAGGGCUCUUUUGGGUCUUGUAAUUGGAAUGAGUACAAUUUAAAUCCCUUAACGAGGAACAAUUGGAGGGCAAGUCUGGUGCCAGCAGCCGCGGUAAUUCCAGCUCCAAUAGCGUAUAUUAAAGUUGUUGCAGUUAAAAAGCUCGUAGUUGAACCUUGGGCCUGGCUGGCCGGUCCGCCUCACCGCGUGCACUGGUUCGGCCGGGCCUUUCCCUCUGGGGAGCCGCAUGCUCUUCACUGAGUGUGUCGGGGAACCAGGACUUUUACUGUGAAAAAAUUAGAGUGUUCAAAGCAGGCCUAUGCUCGAAUACAUUAGCAUGGAAUAAUAGAAUAGGACGUGUGGUUCUAUUUUGUUGGUUUCUAGGACCGCCGUAAUGAUUAAUAGGGACAGUCGGGGGCAUCAGUAUUCAAUUGUCAGAGGUGAAAUUCUUGGAUUUAUUGAAGACUAACUACUGCGAAAGCAUUUGCCAAGGAUGUUUUCAUUAAUCAGGAACGAAAGUUAGGGGAUCGAAGACGAUCAGAUACCGUCGUAGUCUUAACCAUAAACUAUGCCGACUAGGGAUCGGACGAUGUUACUUUUUGACUCGUUCGGCACCUUACGAGAAAUCAAAGUCUUUGGGUUCUGGGGG